UAUUAUAGCUGUACAGUUGUUAA
rnacentral:snRNA from 1 species